rnacentral:pre_miRNA from 1 species
CUGUUAGGGUCUGAUCCAAAGUCCACUGAAGUCAACAGGGAUCUUUCCGCUGACUUCAGUGGGCUUUGGAUCAGGCAACUGAAUCAG